rnacentral:lncRNA from 1 species
GUACGUUACAAUGUGGGGUCACUGAUUUCAGGGUGUGGCUUGAGUCCUGGCUGAGUCUAAGAUUGUCAUGCUCUAGCCCGUCGUGUGUUGCUGUAUGCCGAGAUGGAGGGCAGCAAGGAAGCCACCACGGACACUGCCCCAGGCCACUGCAGCGCAGCCGUUUGCUGUUGGAGGCUGAGUCAGUGUCCGAGUUGCUGUUGGAGCACAUUCUGGUCAAAGAGCCCUAGGAACCCAAGGGGCCUCCUCUCCUUCAGGCUGAAAUACCUGGCUGCUGCUGGGGUGGGGGGACCCCAUGGCAGUGCUCAGUGCUGAGCUGUGGCUACUGGGCACCUCUUCUCAUCUGGCCAUUUUUUUUUCACCUCAUCGUGUCCACAUAAACCUGUGAUCACAUCUUUAUUUCAAAUUCAGCAUGCUUCUCUGGGAAAAUGGCCAGAAACUUGGCAGACUCUCUGGGCUCCGUGUGAGGGGACAGGCACAUCCCUGGCUUGAAUCCCGAAUGGGCAGUUUUCUGAAACCAGGCUGACAUCCCCUCCUCUCCUGCUGUGUUGUUCAGUUCUCUGAGAGGAAGAGGACGAUGACACUGGUCCAUGCCCAAGACCAGCGCUUAAAACGACAAGCCCAAUGUUUAACACGGUUGUUUCUGGGCCCAAAGGUCUGCCUCUGGAGAAACAGGGCAAGCUGGCCCAUGGAACAUGUCACACUCUUGCAACCGGGGCACCUGAUCAGGCUGGAUGUGCCCAUCAGAUGCUGAAGGCACAGCUGCGUCCCUGCCCUGAGCUCAGCCCCCCUGGGGCUGCCCUGGCCUUGGAUACCCCCCAGCUGGAUUUGUUUCCAGAUCUGCUUCUCAACCCAAGGAGAUGCCCCAACAGACAGGGUCAUGACUUUUUCGAAGUCUCCCAGUGCACACCCCACCCUAGACCACCCACUACCUGAAAUCUGUCAGAGGCCCCACAUUGUCAAUCCUGUGAAGAGCAUUUAAAAGAAUCAGCACCCUUUAGGCCCGUGAACUAUACUUAAAUCAGUAAACCUCCGCCCCCACACAUGUUACAUGUUUUCAGAUGGGUCCCACUAACAGGGUUCCGGUAGAGGAGGAAGAGGCUCAGAUGGGAAGGGAAGCAGGACACUUGGGGAGGACACCUGAGAGAAAAAACCCUCAGGGACCCCAAAGCCGACCACCAAUCUAUCAUGAGGUUUCCAUGCUCCGUUCAUGAAAAGACCCCUUUUCUUUUUCUUUUCCUUUCUUUUUUUCCCCUUUUAGAGCUGCAGGGUCAUAUGGAAGUUCCCAGGCAGGGGGUCAGAAUGGAGCGAUGGCUGCUGGCCUACACCACA